CUCUCUCCCCCCAUCUCUAUCUAUCUCCGUCUCUGUAUCUAUAUCUAUGUGAGUUGUUUUAGGGUUUGAUUUUCUUGAUUGGAUCUAGGGCUUGAUGAAAAUCACCCUUAAAUUGAAUCAGAUUCAAUUCUUCCAGGCUUUGAAUGCAAAGAGUAAACAAUUUUAAUGAUAUUGUGUGAUUUUAUUUUGUAUGUGAUUUUUCUGGGUGAUUAGAAAUUGUAGAUUAAAUAUGAAGAUCUUUAUCCUAUUCCAAUUUGCAUAAAAAGCUAAAUACUAUUACUUUAGAUUUUGAGUAUUUCUCUUCUCACUGUUGAAUGUAUAAUUCUAUACGAGUAAUAAUUUAAUGUAGUUGGUUGGACUAUGUGUUCCCUAUGAUGUACAAUUUUCUUAAAUUAUGAUACCCAAUUAUUGUUUAUUGCAAUUAUGGAACCUCAACUACUGCAGGAUAUCUUCCACUUUUUUCUUCAUUUUUUCUUUUAGUUAUUUGACAUGAACAAUAAUAAAUGACGCUUAAUUAUGCCAUAUGUACUUUCAGCAUAAUGUUACUCUAAGGAUUAGAACUUGAAUAUUGAUAUUUUGCUUCUUUAUCCUUUUUUCCGUUGUUGAUUGUCAUGUCUCCUUCCCACUUUGGCUACGUAUUAAUGCAAUAAGUAGUACAAUUUUCAUUAACAAAAUGUGAAUGCCCACAAGGGCCAAAACCAAAGAUCUCUAUUUCUCAUUAAUGCCAAACCUGCAUCUGUUUUGACGCGAAACUAAUUUAGUACGAAGUCUAAAAUAUUACUUGAAUUUUAUUAAUUGUAUUAGUAGUAAUAGUAGAAAAAGAAAAUAUUAAAAUUGUUCUUAAAGUUGAUCUCGUUAAUGAGGAUAAUUUAUGAUCAUGAGGCUAAAUCUUGUUUUUUAAGUUUUACUUACUACUUGUCUUAUGGUGAAUGAUGAAUAAUACCCUUAUCUGUUUUUGGAGAUUAUGAAGCUUAGUUUAUAAUUCUGGUCUAGAAUGUUUCCUCGGUUACUGGUUUGUGCUCUUGAAUGUUUUACUUUGAUGAAUUAUUGAAUAGUCUUCCUCAAUGUACAGGAGUAUUUCCUUAAUGUACAAUUUCUCUGUGUAGCUUGUGUAUAACUGAAUUAAGUUAGGAGUAAAAGAUCAAAACUUUCAGAGGAUAUACUUAAUUUUCAGGAUUUGGGCCAUGUGAAUAGUUCUAAAUUUGCACAUUGUAUUACAUGCCAGUGAAAUUUUAGUACUUGUGAAAUGUGGCUCUGAACAGGUAGGAGGUUAAUGAGCUGAAGGUAUAAGAUUGUGAUGCUUGCUGCUGUUUUUUUACUCUUAGAAAUUGCUAUUUCCAUAUAUGAGAAAUGUUGUAUCUCUUCUUCUGAUUCUGAAAAAUAAGAUAUGUAGAGUUUAUCCAAUAGUUUGUUCAGUAAGUAGUCAUUGCACUUACAUUGUUCAGUGUGCAUCUUUAUUCAAGCGAAUUGGGAUGAAAAAGAGAAGAAUUUUCCAACAUUUAAGAAAAAUAAACUGCAGCAUAGUCUUUGAAAGAACAUUCUAUAAUACACUCAGAAUAGGUAGAAGAGUAGUGGAUUAAAGGUGUGUAUGAAUCUGAUGAGUUGUUUAAUUUCUGAAAUUACUUGAUAAGAGAAGAAGGUGUGUAUGUCCUUCUGAUAGACUGCAGAGCAGCAUGUGUGUAACUUGUGUGCAUUCAAUGUACUAUAGCAGCGUAACAAUGUGGCAUUGAGUUUGUUGUUCUUUUCAAGUUAUUUUGUUUGAAUUUGAUGUCUGUGCUUAAGUUAACAAAUUGAGUAUUUAUGUUAGCAUAAUGGCCUAGAAACCGAAGACCAAAAAAUUACAUCCCUUCCAGUUUAUGCCAAACUGAUUCAGUUUUAUGUAUUUCAGCAAGAUUUUAGUCACUAUCUUGAUUUUUCCAUAAAUAAAGCAAUUGGUAAGUUACACCUAGUCUUAUGAAACUGCUCUUGUUCGGUUACUAAGUUGUGCAUUGCAAGAACCCAGUCAUAGUGCUAAAUUAUGAUCUCAGGUCAUAAAGAGCAUUUCAACAAGGUUUUUCCCUUUAUUCACUCGGAUGCAUUCUGUAGUAUCGCACACUCAAUUGUGCAGCUACAAUUAACUACAUAGUAUAGCCUGUUUUGGAAAUAAAGAAAGCUCAAUUUGGAGUGAAAAAGAGAAAGUGUCUUUUUUAAAGGUAUAAUCAUAAAUCUUGUUUAGCACUUCUCUUUGGUUGAUCAAUUUCUCAGUCAUAAUAAGAAACUGCAAAUUGCUGAAACACUAAUUUUGUGAGGUAAGACUAGUGCAGGAGUUUGAUUGAAACUUGAGUUUGGUCCAGAAAAAGCAGUCAUUUAUUCUUAGUAUUAAUAUUAUAAGCGUUUGUUUUAAAGUCACUAGGAAAGAAAUGGAAAGAUUAAAAGUGCGAUUUAAAAGGUGAAUAUAUGGCAAAACAUAAGACUAAAGAUGCUUUGCUGAAAAAUAGACCAAAUCGCAUACCGAGGGAUCAAUGGAGUGGUCUUGUCUCUUAUUGGUUUUCUGAUAAAGCUAGGAGGCGUACCCAAGCAAAUAGAAAUAAUAGGACCAAGCAAAAGAUGCCUCACACUGGAGGAUCCAAAAGUAUUGCUACUUUGAUGGAUGAGAAGGCUGAAAAUGGGAUAGAGCCUACACGAGCCCAAAUUCUUAUAUUAACUCAUAAAGAGCGUAAGGAUGGUAGAUCACUGGAUGAGGAUUCUGCCAGGACAAUCGACAUGAUAAAUGAAAGGAUAAGCAAUGGUGAGAGAUCUACUACCAUCCUCCUCAUAGUGUUGCUUGGGAAGGCGAUGUGUAUUCCCAGGUGUUGGGAAAUGAAAAGAGUGGGUAUGUUCGUGGUUUGGGACUUGGUCCAACUCCUUCUGUGUUAUGGGGUAGUAGAUCUACCUUAGGAAAUAUUAUUGCAAAGGAUUCGUCUAAUGAGCUCGUACAAAGGUUAGAACAGGAGGUAAUCGAGUUAAAGGCGAAACAAAAUGAAGAAAUAAAUCUGAUGAAACAAAAUCAGGAGAAGAUGGAAUCAGAAUUACUCCAAACGAGACAAUUCAUGCGCAAAUACGCUCCUAAUGAAUCCAUGCCUCAAAAUAUCAAUGACACCUGAAGUGAACAGGUCCCUGACGCCAACAGUGGCCAUGAACGAGUACCGCAAACCUCAAGGAUACCUAGUGUUGCUGAAAACACUCCACCUUCUCACGGUCAUUUAGUCUAAUGUUUGAAAAUAUCGCAUGCGGAAGAUUUCAAUAUGAUGUAGACUUGCAGAAAUUAUUUGACAUUAGUUAUUCAGUUCAAACAAUUUAUGACACUAUUUUUUGGGUUAGUACUUCCUUUUGUUUGUUUAUGUUUAAUGAGAUAUGUUCAGUUUUAUGAAUUAAUAGUAAUAUAUUUGUUUUGCAUUUUCCAAA